rnacentral:pre_miRNA from 1 species
ACAACAAUGUUUGGACCGUCGGUCUACCGAGCGACUUCACCCGCUCGGUGGAAGAUCUUCCCUUUGUCGUUCAUC